rnacentral:rRNA from 1 species
AUGGCGCUGAUCUACGCAACCACUAGCGAGGACAACGACAAUCCGGCCAUUCCGUCAGAUAUCCAAGCAGUUUUGGAAGAAUUAGACGAUGUGUUCAAAGAGCCUAAGGGAUUGCCGCCUCGCUGUGACUGCGAUCACAAGAUUCCGCUUAUUCCAGGGGCGCAACCUGUGAACAUCAGGCCUUACAGACACAAGCCCGAGCAUAAGAAGGAGAUAGAUGCUCAAGUUGAGGAGCUGCUCCGCAAGGGUGUCAUUCAGAAAAGCAACAGUCCAUUCUGCUCCCCUGUGAUCCUGGUCAAAAAGAAGGACGGAACAUGGCGACUCUGCAUCGACUACAGACACCUCAACGCCCUCACCUAUGUAGCCAAGUACCCGGUGCCGAUCAUCGAAGAACUACUCGAUGAACUGCAUGGUGCAGCCUGGUUCUCCAAACUGGACCUCCGCUCCGGGUACCAUCAGAUUCGCCUGGCGGAGGGCGAAGAGUACAAGACUGCAUUUCAAACGCAUUCAGGGCAUUACGAGUUCCUCGUGGUCUCUUUUGGACUAGCAGGCGGACCAGCCACAUUCAACGGCGCCCUGACCACCACACUCAAGCCAGUCGACCGCAAGUGUGUGCUCCUUUUCUUCGAUGACAUACUGGUCUUCAGCAAGACUCUUGAAGAUCACAUCACCCACCUCCGUCAGGUUCUGCAGCUGCUGCGUCGUGAUCAAUGGCACGUGAAGAGGUCCAAGUGUGAAUUCGCUCAGCACAGUCUAUCAUACUUGGGUCAUGUCAUCAGUAGCGAAGGAGUGUCAACUGACCCAACCAAGAUACACGCCGUGGCAAACUGGGAAACACCAACGGAUGUCAAGGCAGUACGCAGUUUCUUGGGGCUUGCAGGGUACUAUCGGCGAUUCGUCAAGAAUUUUGGCGUCAUAGCACGGCCCCUGUUCAAUCUGCUGAAGAAAGGAGCACCUUUCGUGUGGACUCCUGCAACGGAUACUGCUUUCCAACUACUGAAGCGACACCUGAUCGAAGCUCCUGUGCUCGCUCUGCCCAACUUCACCAACCCGUUUGUGAUCGAGACUGAUGCCUGCGAUAAGGGAAUAGGCGCAAUUCUCCAGCAGGGUGGCCAUCCGAUCGCAUACAUGAGCAAAGCAUUGAGCCCACGCUACCAAGGCCUCUCGACAUAUGAGAAGGAGUACCUGGCAGUCAUCGUAGCUGUGGACCAAUGGCGCCCUUACCUUCAGCAUGCAGAGUUCACUAUCCUCACCGACCAGUGGAGCUUGAUACACUUGACAGAACAACGGCUCACUACACCAUGGCAGCAACGAGCCUUCAUGAAGCUAUUGGGGCUCCAGUAUACCAUCAAAUACAAGAAAGGGGCAGAGAACACAACAGCCGAUGCCCUGUCAAGGUCCAACACUGAAGAAGUACUGCACACCAUCAGCGUGUGUCAACCAGCUUGGCUAGAGGACAUUGUCAACAGCUACAAUACCAACCCGCAAGCGCAACGCCUCCUGGAGCAACUAGCUGUGCGGGAGGACCCCAAAGGGUGA